rnacentral:tRNA from 1 species
AUUGGAGUAGUUUAUAUAAAAUACUGACUUUGGGAGUCAGAGAAAAACCUGUUUUUCCGAUA